GACGAACGCUGGCGGCGUGCUUAACACAUGCAAGUCGAACGGAAAGGCCCUGCUUUUGUGGGGUGCUCGAGUGGCGAACGGGUGAGUAACACGUGAGUAACCUGCCCUUGACUUUGGGAUAACUUCAGGAAACUGGGGCUAAUACCGGAUAGGAGCUCCUGCUGCAUGGUGGGGGUUGGAAAGUUUCGGCGGUUGGGGAUGGACUCGCGGCUUAUCAGCUUGUUGGUGGGGUAGUGGCUUACCAAGGCUUUGACGGGUAGCCGGCCUGAGAGGGUGACCGGCGACAUUGGUACUGAGGUACGGCCCAGACUCCUACGGGAGGCAGCAGUGGGGAAUAUUGCACAAUGGGCCGAAGCCUGAUGCAGCAACGCCGCGUGCGGGAUGACGGCCUUCGGGUUGUAAACCGCUUUCGCCUGUGACGAAGCGUGAGUGACGGUAAUGGGUAAAGAAGCACCGGCUAACUACGUG
rnacentral:rRNA from 1 species